UACGGAGGGUGCAAGCGUUAAUCGGAAUUACUGGGCGUAAAGCGCGCGUAGGUGGUUUGAUAAGCGAGAUGUGAAAGCCCCGGGCUUAACCUGGGAACGGCAUUUCGAACUGUCAGGCUAGAGUAUGGUAGAGGGUAGUGGAAUUUCCUGUGUAGCGGUGAAAUGCGUAGAUAUAGGAAGGAACACCAGUGGCGAAGGCGGCUACCUGGACCAAUACUGACACUGAGGUGCGGAAAAGCGAUGGGGAGCAAACAGGGACUUAAGAUACCCCCCGUAGUCCC
rnacentral:rRNA from 1 species